rnacentral:rRNA from 1 species
GGGUUGUGAGGUUAAGCGACUAAGCGUACACGGUGGAUGCCCUGGCAGUCAGAGGCGAUGAAGGGCGUGCUAAUCUGCGAUAAGCGCCGGUAAGGUGAUAUGAACCGUUAUAACCGGCGAUACCCGAAUGGGGAAACCCAGUGUGAUUCGUCACACUAUCAUUAACUGAAUCCAUAGGUUAAUGAGGCGAACCGGGGGAACUGAAACAUCUAAGUACCCCGAGGAAAAGAAAUCAACCGAGAUUCCCCCAGUAGCGGCGAGCGAACGGGGAGGAGCCCAGAGCCUGAAUCAGCAUGUGUGUUAGUGGAAGCGUCUGGAAAGGUGCGCGAUACAGGGUGACAGCCCCGUACACAAAAGCGCAUGUGCUGUGAGCUCGAUGAGUAGGGCGGGACACGUGGUAUCCUGUCUGAAUAUGGGGACCAUCCUCCAAGGCUAAAUACUCCUGACUGACCGAUAGUGAACCAGUACCGUGAGGGAAAGGCGAAAAGAACCCCGGCGAGGGGAGUGAAAAAGAACCUGAAACCGUGUACGUACAAGCAGUGGGAGCACAGGUUUACCUGUGUGACUGCGUACCUUUUGUAUAAUGGGUCAGCGACUUAUAUUCUGUAGCAAGGUUAACCGUAUAGGGGAGCCGUAGGGAAACCGAGUCUUAACCGGGCGUUAAGUUGCAGGGUAUAGACCCGAAACCCCGUUAUAGAUGACCUGUGGCUGGGGUGAAAGGCCAAUCAAACCGGGAGAUAGCUGGUUCUCCCCGAAAGCUAUUUAGGUAGCGCCUCGUGAAUUCAUCUCCGGGGUAGAGCACUGUUUCGGCUAGGGGCCAUCCCGGCUUACCAACCCGAUGCAAACUGCGAAUACCGGAGAAUGUUAUCACGGGAGACACACGGCGGGUGCUAACGUCCGUCGUGAAGAGGGAAACAACCCAGACCGCCAGCUAAGGUCCCAAAGUCAUGGUUAAGUGGGAAACGAUGUGGGAAGGCCCAGACAGCCAGGAUGUUGGCUUAGAAGCAGCCAUCAUUUAAAGAAAGCGUAAUAGCUCACUGGUCGAGUCGGCCUGCGCGGAAGAUGUAACGGGGCUAAACCAUGCACCGAAGCUGCGGCAGCGAACGUAUCACCCAAGACAACUUUACGGAGUUGACGAUUGACGGAGCGAAGCGACGUCAAAGCGUUCAUUAAAGUCGAGUUGGCUUAGGGAUACGUUCGUUGGGUAGGGGGAGCGUUCUGUAAGCCUGUGAAGGUGUGUCGUGAGGCAUGCUGGAGGUAUCAGAAGUGCGAAUGCUGACAUAAGUAACGAUAAAGCGGGUGAAAAGCCCGCUCGCCGGAAGACCAAGGGUUCCUGUCCAACGUUAAUCGGGGCAGGGUGAGUCGACCCCUAAGGCGAGGCCGAAAGGCGUAGUCGAUGGGAAACGGGUUAAUAUUCCCGUACUUGGGUGUUACUGCGAAGGGGGACGGAGAAGGCUAUGUUGGCCGGGCGACGGUUGUCCCGGUUUAAGCGUGUAGGUGUGUGUUCCAGGUAAAUCCGGUUCACUUUAACACUGAGGCGUGACGACGAGGCACUACGGUGCUGAAGCAACAAAUGCCCUGCUUCCAGGAAAAGCCUCUAAGCAUCAGGUAACACGAAAUCGUACCCCAAACCGACACAGGUGGUCAGGUAGAGAAUACCAAGGCGCUUGAGAGAACUCGGGUGAAGGAACUAGGCAAAAUGGUGCCGUAACUUCGGGAGAAGGCACGCUGACACGUAGGUGAAGUGAUUUACUCAUGGAGCUGAAGUCAGUCGAAGAUACCAGCUGGCUGCAACUGUUUAUUAAAUACACAGCACUGUGCAAACACGAAAGUGGACGUAUACGGUGUGACGCCUGCCCGGUGCCGGAAGGUUAAUUGAUGGGGUCAGCGUAAGCGAAGCUCCUGAUCGAAGCCCCGGUAAACGGCGGCCGUAACUAUAACGGUCCUAAGGUAGCGAAAUUCCUUGUCGGGUAAGUUCCGACCUGCACGAAUGGCGUAAUGAUGGCCAGGCUGUCUCCACCCGAGACUCAGUGAAAUUGAACUCGCUGUGAAGAUGCAGUGUACCCGCGGCAAGACGGAAAGACCCCGUGAACCUUUACUAUAGCUUGACACUGAACAUUGAGCCUUGAUGUGUAGGAUAGGUGGGAGGCUUUGAAGUGUGGACGCCAGUCUGCAUGGAGCCGACCUUGAAAUACCACCCUUUAAUGUUUGAUGUUCUAACGUGGACCCGUAAUCCGGGUUGCGGACAGUGUCUGGUGGGUAGUUUGACUGGGGCGGUCUCCUCCUAAAGAGUAACGGAGGAGCACGAAGGUUGGCUAAUCCUGGUCGGACAUCAGGAGGUUAGUGCAAUGGCAUAAGCCAGCUUGACUGCGAGCGUGACGGCGCGAGCAGGUGCGAAAGCAGGUCAUAGUGAUCCGGUGGUUCUGAAUGGAAGGGCCAUCGCUCAACGGAUAAAAGGUACUCCGGGGAUAACAGGCUGAUACCGCCCAAGAGUUCAUAUCGACGGCGGUGUUUGGCACCUCGAUGUCGGCUCAUCACAUCCUGGGGCUGAAGUAGGUCCCAUGCAUCACUGGUGUUCGGGUUGUCAUGCCAAUGGCACUGCCCGGUAGCUAAAUGCGGAAGAGAUAAGUGCUGAAAGCAUCUAAGCACGAAACUUGCCCCGAGAUGAGUUCUCCCUGAGACUUAGAGUCUCCUGAAGGAACGUUGAAGACGACGACGUUGAUAGGCCGGGUGUGUAAGCGCAGCGAUGCGUUGAGCUAACCGGUACUAAUGAACCGUGAGGCUUAACCUUACAACGCCGAAG